rnacentral:rRNA from 1 species
AGGGUUUGAUCCUGGCUCAGAACGUACGCUGGCGGCACGCCUAAUACAUGCAAGUCGAACGGAGUAGCAAUACUUAGUGGCAGACGGGUGAGUAACAUGUAGGUAUCUUCCCUUUGGUGAGGAAUAACACGAGGAAACUUGUGCUAAUACCUCAUAAGUCUUUACGGAGAAAGCUUUAUGCGCCAAUGGAUGAGCCUGCACUUGAUUAGUUUGUUGGUGGGGUAAUGGCCUACCAAGACAAUGAUCAAUAGCUGAUUUGAGAGGAUGAUCAGCCACAUUGGGACUGAGACACGGCCCAAACUCCUACGGGAGGCAGCAGUAGGGAAUCUUGCACAAUGGGGGAAACCCUGAUGCAGCGAUGCCGCGUGAGUGAAGAAGGCCUUUGGGUUGUAAAGCUCUUUCGUCGGGGAAGAAAAUGACUGUACCCGAAUAAGAAGGUCCGGCUAACUUCGUGCCAGCAGCCGCGGUAAUACGAAGGGACCUAGCGUAGUUCGGAAUUACUGGGCUUAAAGAGUUCGUAGGUGGUUAAAAAAGUUGGUGGUGAAAUCCCAGAGCUUAACUCUGGAACUGCCAUCAAAACUUUUUAGCUAGAGUAUGAUAGAGGAAAGCAGAAUUUCUAGUGUAGAGGUGAAAUUCGUAGAUAUUAGAAAGAAUACCAAUUGCGAAGGCAGCUUUCUGGAUCAUUACUGACACUGAGGAACGAAAGCAUGGGUAGCGAAGAGGAUUAGAUACCCUCGUAGUCCAUGCCGUAAACGAUGUGUGUUAGACGUUGGAAAUUUAUUUUCAGUGUC